GCUCUGGAAGUGAGCAGUCAUGACCUCUGAGAGGGUGUUUGUGUUUGUUGAUGAAGAGGAGCUGUUCAGCGUGAUGAAGGAUGCUGACUGUCUCUACUGCAGGAUUCCUGUCACUGCCUCCAAACAGCACCUCAAAAAGAGACAUCUCAGAUUCGCUAUAUAUUAUAAAGACGCCGGCAUUGGUAACUGACCAGUAACCGUUUCUACAACACACACAUAGCAUUAGACACCCGUUCUGAGCGUGACUGUUGUGUGUUCUUGACAGGGAGGUUUUCUAUCCCCUGUUACUGCUCUGAUGGAGGCCAUGGCAGGAGCCACUGGCACUGCCCGAUGUGCUCGAAAAUAUUGCACAGGACACAGAACUACAAAAUCCACAUUACCAACCACGGUGUUGAGAUGACAGACAAAUCCUCAGCUGAGCUUCAGCCUACAACAGUCCUGUUAGAGAGCCUGCAAACACACAGCGAAGACAAGACACCGGGCAGCAAGGCAGCGUGCCAGAAGUGUGGCAUCCUCUUUACCACCACAUCAAAUUUGAGACGGCAUGAGAGACUACAGCACGGCCAAGACCAGCAGCCCAUUUUAUGCAUUCUGCUGUGUGAGCUGGAGGAAUGCUGGGAUUUCAUGAAAGCGCAGGCCCAGAGCGGGAAUCCUGGGAAGGAAUGCCGUCACCUCGUGAGAACGAAUCACGCGCAGCACUACGUCCCUCCUCCACCUCUGAGCGUCCGCUCUCUGGAGGAGAUGAGAGACAAACACCUCCUGUCCGCAUCAGAGAAACACGAGUGCCAGGAGAUGAACUCCAGGGCGUGUGUACAGGGGGUGGACUGUGUCUACCCUGUUUUUGGGGCGAGCAUGACCUUCCAGAGAGAUGCGUCUUCUUCUCUGUGUACACUGACCUUGAGGACAAAUGGUGUCAGUUUGGGAGGACACGCGUCUCGUUCGACAGCAAGUCUGGCAGCUGGAAGUGUCUGUGUAAGCACAAAAGAAGCCGCUGCGUCCACAAGUGUUUGUGUAUGUGGUGGCUGUUUCAGGAGCGUCCCGAACUGUUGCAGGAUGCCCUAG
rnacentral:lncRNA from 1 species